rnacentral:rRNA from 1 species
CAUGCAAGUCGAACGGUAAGGCCCCAGCUUGCUGGGGUACACGAGUGGCGAACGGGUGAGUAACACGUGGGUGACCUGCCCCGCACUUCGGGAUAAGCCUGGGAAACUGGGUCUAAUACCGGAUAGGACCGCAUCGUGAGGAUGUGGUGGAAAGUUUUUUCGGUGUGGGAUGGGCCCGCGGCCUAUCAGCUUGUUGGUGGGGUAAUGGCCUACCAAGGCGGCSACGGGUAGCCGGCCUGAGAGGGUGGACGGCCACAUUGGGACUGAGACACGGCCCAGACUCCUACGGGAGGCAGCAGUGGGGAAUAUUGCACAAUGGGCGGAAGCCUGAUGCAGCGACGCCGCGUGGGGGAUGACGGCCUUCGGGUUGUAAACUCCUUUCACCAUCGACGAAGGUUUUCUGACGGUAGAUGGAGAAGAAGCACCGGCUAACUACGUGCCAGC